AUGAUAUCUUGCAGUUAAAAAUGGCAUCUUAUUGAGACUAUACCUGCAGAUUAGGAGGCAACUGAAAUGAUGGAUUUUGAAAACUUUAGAAAUGUUACAAUGUGAGGAAUUGUUGAUAAAGACCUUCGUCACUACCUCAACUUACGAUUUCAAAAGGGUUCUGUGGACCAUGAGCUUCAGCAAAUCAUUCGUGACAACCUCUACCUCCGCACGGUGCCAUGAGAGUCUCACAAGUAAAAAGAAAAGUGCACGUUGGAAAGAAUCCAGAAGCAUAGAAGGAAAAUGGACUACCAAAGACUAUAUCAUUGCUCUUAUAUAUGCAUGCAUUAAUAAUACAUUCACUUCUUGUUUAAUCUAGCACUGGCACCAGGAAUAGGUCCUCGAUAACUCCAUUGAAACAAAAUUGUAGUGACUUAUAACUAUAUGAGGGGAAAUAAAUUCUUUUCACAAAACAAGACCUAACUGAGUAAUUCUGCUUACAACCGUACAUUACUCUACCACCAACUACAUCUGAAAGGAAAGGAAGCACUUCUUGGAGCUGGAAUUUCUUGGUACCUAGUAAGAGAGAGUUCUAGAGCUAGGGCUCCAAAGACCAUCCCUCCCACCACACACACACACACACACACACACACAGUCAAUCUGUUGUGAACAAGUUGGUUCUUGCACUCUCCUUGGUGGGAAGCUUGUUUCCAGUUGCUGGCUGAUUUCUGAGCUAAGCAGGGGAGGGAGCUGGUGAGUCUAGGUCUCCACUGACCCUUAACUACAAAUAAUACAAACAUGCCAUCAAUCUGUUCCAUACCCCAUAAACAAGACCUGACUGUAAUUAGCCUUGUAUUUUGUUUCCCUAGAACCUUAUCUCAGAGCCUGCCUAAUUCUAAAACACACACACACACACACACACACACACACACACACACACACACACACACACAUACUUUUCAACAAAAGCCACAUCUCUUAUAAUGGAAGGAGAUGGUCACAG
rnacentral:lncRNA from 1 species